rnacentral:rRNA from 1 species
GACGAAGGUCCCAAGCGUUACCCGGAUUCACUGGGCGUAAAGGGCGAGAAGGCGGUCUUUUAAGUCUUUCCUUAAAGUUCUUUGGCCUAACCAAAGAAAUGGGAAGGAUACUAAAAGACUUGAGACUGUCAGAGGCUAGCGGAACGUACGGUGUAGGGGUGAAAUCCAAUGAUAUCGUACGGAACUCCAAAGGCGAAGGCAGCUAGCUAGGGCAGUUCUGACGCUGAUCUCGCGAAAGCUAGGGGCGCGAACCGG